rnacentral:rRNA from 1 species
CCUACGGGCGGCAGCAGUGAGGAAUAUUGGUCAAUGGACGAGAGUCUGAACCAGCCAAGUAGCGUGAAGGAUGACUGCCCUAUGGGUUGUAAACUUCUUUUAUAUGGGAAUAAAAUGUUCCACGUGUGGGAUUUUGUAUGUACCAUAUGAAUAAGGAUCGGCUAACUCCGUGCCAGCAGCCGCGGUAAUACGGAGGAUCCGAGCGUUAUCCGGAUUUAUUGGGUUUAAAGGGAGCGUAGGUGGAUUGUUAAGUCAGUUGUGAAAGUUUGCGGCUAAACCGUAAAAUUGCAGUUGAAACUGGCAGUCUUGAGUAGAGUAGAGGUGGGCGGAAUUCGUGGUGUAGCGGUGAAAUGCUUAGAUAUCACGAAGAACUCCGAUUGCGAAGGCAGUUCACUGGACUGCAACUGACACUGAGGCUCGAAAGUGUGGGUAUCAAACAGGAUUAGAUACCCUUGUAGUC